rnacentral:rRNA from 1 species
AUUGAACGCUGGCGGCAGGCCUAACACAUGCAAGUCGAGCGGAUGAAGGGAGCUUGCUCCUGGAUUCAGCGGCGGACGGGUGAGUAAUGCCUAGGAAUCUGCCUGGUAGUGGGGUAUAACGUCCGGAAACGGGCGCUAAUACCGCAUACGUCCUGAGGGAGAAAGUGGGGGAUCUUCGGACCUCACGCUAUCAGAUGAGCCUAGGUCGGAUUGGCUAGUUGGUGGGGUAAAGGCCUACCAAGGCGACGAUCCGUAACUGGUCUGAGAGGAUGAUUAGUCACACUGGAACUGAGCCACGGUCCAGACUCCUACGGGAGGCAGCAGUGGGGAAUAUUGGACAAUGGGCGAAAGCCUGAUCCAGCCAUGCCGAGUGUGUGAAGAAGGUCUUCGGAUUGUAAAGCACUUUAAGUUGGGAGGAAGGGCAGUAAGUUAAUACCUUGCUGUUUUGACGUUACCAACAGAAUAAGCACCGGCUAACUUCGUG